GGGGAAUUUUGGACAAUGGGCGCAAGCCUGAUCCAGCCAUGCCGCGUGCGGGAAGAAGGCCUUCGGGUUGUAAACCGCUUUUGUCAGGGAAGAAACGCUCUGGGCUAAUACCCCGGGGUAAUGACGGUACCUGAAGAAUAAGCACCGGCUAACUACGUGCCAGCAGCCGCGGUAAUACGUAGGGUGCAAGCGUUAAUCGGAAUUACUGGGCGUAAGGCGUGCGCAGGCGGUUAUGCAAGACAGAUGUGAAAUCCCCGGGCUCAACCUGGGAACUGCAUUUGUGACUGCAUGGCUGGAGUGCGGCAGAGGGGGAUGGAAUUCCGCGUGUAGCAGUGAAAUGCGUAGAUAUGCGGAGGAACACCGAUGGCGAAGGCAAUCCCCUGGGCCUGCACUGACGCUCAUGCACGAAAGCGUGGGGAGCAAAC
rnacentral:rRNA from 1 species